UACGUAGGGGGCAAGCGUUAUCCGGAUUUACUGGGUGUAAAGGGAGCGCAGACGGCAGUGCAAGUCUGAUGUGAAAGCCCGGGGCUCAACCCCGGAACUGCAUUGGAAACUGUACAGCUUGAGUGUCGGAGAGGUAAGCGGAAUUCCUAGUGUAGCGGUGAAAUGCGUAGAUAUUAGGAGGAACACCGGUGGCGAAGGCGGCUUACUGGACGAUUACUGACGUUGAGGCUCGAAAGCGUGGGGAGCAAACAGGAUUAGAUACCCUGGUAGUCCCU
rnacentral:rRNA from 1 species